rnacentral:rRNA from 1 species
GACGAACGCUGGCGGCGUGCUUAACACAUGCAAGUCGAACGAAGUGGCGCACGGGUGCGUAAUAUAUAGCUAAUCUGCCCCUUGCUGGAGGACAACAGUUAGAAAUGACUGCUAAUACUCCAUAGCAAGGGAUGAGACUAUAUCGUAUCAGCUAGUCGGUGGGGGAACGGCCUACCGAGGCUAUGACGCGUAACUGGUCUGAGAGGAUGAGAAGGCACAUGGGAACUGAGACACGGGACAAACUCCUAAGGGAGGCAGCAGUAGGGAAGAAUGAGCGAUGGGGGAAACACUGACGCAGCAACGCCGCGUGGAGGAUGACACUUGUCGGAGCGUAAACGCCGUUUGUUAGGGAAGCGGUACCUAACGAAUAAGCACCGGCUAACUCCGUGCCAGCAGCCGCGGUAAUAC